rnacentral:rRNA from 1 species
AAUACAUGCAGUCGAACGCACAGCGAAAGGUGCUUGCACCUUUCAAGUGAGUGGCGAACGGGUGAGUAACACGUGGACAACCUGCCUCAAGGCUGGGGAUAACAUUUGGAAACAGAUGCUAAUACCGAAUAAAACUUAGUGUCGCAUGACACAAAGUUAAAAGGCGCUUCGGCGUCACCUAGAGAUGGAUCCGCGGUGCAUUAGUUAGUUGGUGGGGUAAAGGCCUACCAAGACAAUGAUGCAUAGCCGAGUUGAGAGACUGAUCGGCCACAUUGGGACUGAGACACGGCCCAAACUCCUACGGGAGGCUGCAGUAGGGAAUCUUCCACAAUGGGCGAAAGCCUGAUGGAGCAACGCCGCGUGUGUGAUGAAGGCUUUCGGGUCGUAAAGCACUGUUGUAUGGGAAGAACAGCUAGAAUAGGAAAUGAUUUUAGUUUGACGGUACCAUACCAGAAAGGGACGGCUAAAUACGUGCCAGCAGCCGCGGUAAUACGUAUGUCCCGAGCGUUAUCCGGAUUUAUUGGGCGUAAAGCGAGCGCAGACGGUUUAUUAAGUCUGAUGUGAAAGCCCGGAGCUCAACUCCGGAAUGGCAUUGGAAACUGGUUAACUUGAGUGCAGUAGAGGUAAGUGGAACUCCAUGUGUAGCGGUGGAAUGCGUAGAUAUAUGGAAGAACACCAGUGGCGAAGGCGGCUUACUGGACUGCAACUGACGUUGAGGCUCGAAAGUGUGGGUAGCAAACAGGAUUAGAUACCCUGGUAGUCCACACCGUAAACGAUGAACACUAGGUGUUAGGAGGUUUCCGCCUCUUAGUGCCGAAGCUAACGCAUUAAGUGUUCCGCCUGGGGAGUACGACCGCAAGGUUGAAACUCAAAGGAAUUGACGGGGAC